GCAUUUGAGUGUGUCUGUAGCUGACAAAUACAAGAUGAAGUACUUCUCUCUUUUGGCGCUGAUAAUGAUGCUGGUGUUCCUGGCUGGGACAGUGCAGGCUGGUGAUGAAGAUGUUUCUUCGUCGGCAUCGCCACCGGCGGCCUCGUCGCAAUCGCCAACUUCAACGGACGCCUCGCGUCGUCGUUAAAACGUUGCAGUUUAGCAGCGGAGGCUGAUGCAGCCCAAGUCCACAUGGAAGUCAUAGCACACAAUAAUUCACCUAUCUUUAAAUGUAUAAGUGCUUUAAUAAACACCUCUGUUUAUUGAAACCAGAUCCUUAUUAAACUACUUAAUUACAUAACAAUUAAAAAUAAA